rnacentral:rRNA from 1 species
AACGAACGCUAGCGGCGCGUUUUAAGCAUGCAAGUCGAACGGGGAUAUUAGGAGCAAUUCUGGUAUCCUAGUGGCAAACGGGUGAGUAACACGUGGAUAAUCUGCCCUCAAGACCUGGAUAGCCCGCAGAAAUGCGGAUUAAUACGGGAUGUGGUGCCUGAUCAUGAGGAUCGGGACAUUAAAGGUGGGGACCGCAAGGCCUGCCGCUUGGGGAGGAGUCCGCGGCCCAUUAGCUAGUUGGUGGGGUAAAGGCCUACCAAGGCGACGAUGGCUAGGGGGUCUGAGAGGACGAUCCCCCACACUGGUACUGAGACACGGACCAGACUCCUACGGGAGGCAGCAGUGAGGAAUAUUGGUCAAUGGGCGAAGCCUGAACCAGCCAUGCCGCGUGCAGGAUGACGGCCCUACGGGUUGUAAACUGCUUUUGUACGGAACGAAACGGUGAGCUCUAAUAAAGCUUGCUAAUGACGGUACCGUAAGAAUAAGCACCGGCUAACUACGUGCC